rnacentral:lncRNA from 1 species
AUGUGUACAACAGAUUGGAGGACAUUCCUUACGAUUAUGUAAUGAAAGGCAAUGCUCCUGAGCGAAUUUCUUUAGGCACUGGUGGUGCUGCUGGCCCGUCUGUUGUAUCAGUGGACGCAAGGCAACCAAAUUCUAUUGCUAAUAACCUUGAGGCUUAUCAAGAUCACCAAGGUACCAGUCCCUGAAUUCUGAGUUUCUGACUACUCCUUGAGUUCAUUGCAAUGCUUAAUUGUCUGAUGCCGGAAUGUCUGUUUGGCCCGUCUGUUGUAUCAGUGGACGCAAGGCAACCAAAUUCUAUUGCUAAUAACCUUGAGGCUUAUCAAGGUUACCCAGGUACCAGUCCCUGAAUUCUGAGUUUCUGACUACUCCUUGAGUUCAUUGCAAUGCUUAAUUGUCUGAUGCCAGAAUGUCUGUUUCAAUUUAUAAGGAGCUGGAGCACCUGAAAAUUGUCC